UACCAGGAGCCCGAGUGGUCGGGGCGAUUAUUGGGCCUAAAGCAUCCGUAGCCGGUUUUACAAGUCCUCCGUUAAAUCCAACUGCUUAACAGAUGGGCCGCGGAGGAUACUAUAAGACUAGGAGGCAGGAGAGGCAAGCGGUACUCAGUGGGUAGGGGUAAAAUCCGUUGAUCCAUUGAAGACCACCAGUGGCGAAGGCGGCUUGCCAGAAUGCGCUCGACGGUGAGGGAUGAAAGCUGGGGGAGCAAACCGG
rnacentral:rRNA from 1 species